rnacentral:rRNA from 1 species
AUGCCCGUAGUUGGGGAUAGUCGAUGGAAACGUCGCGUAAUACCCCGUAACAACAGAGGCCGCAUGACCUUUGUUUAAGAGAUUUAUUGUCUACGGAUUGGCUCGCGUACCAUUAGCUAGUUGGCGGGGUAACGGCCCACCAAGGCGACGAUGGUUAGGGGUUCUGAGAGGAAGGUCCCCCCACAUUGGAACUGAGACACGGUCCAGACUCCUACGGGAGGCAGCAGUGAGGAAUAUUGGUCAAUGGCCGAGAGGCUGAACCAGCCAUGCCGCGUGCGGGAUGACGGCCCUAUGGGUUGUAAACCGCUUUUGUUGGGGAGCAAUAAGGUUCACGUGUGGACUGAUGAGAGUACCCAGCGAAUAAGCAUCGGCUAACUCCGUGCCAGCAGCGGC